GCGUCUGUAGCCCAAUCGGUAGAGGCAUCGGGGUUAAAUCCCGUGAAGUCUGAGUUCGAAUCUCAGCAGGCGCACCA
rnacentral:tRNA from 1 species